UACGUAGGGUGCAAGCGUUGUCCGGAAUUAUUGGGCGUAAAGAGCUCGUAGGCGGUCUGUCGCGUCGGCUGUGAAAACCUAGGGCUCAACCCUGGGCCUGCAGCCGAUACGGGCAGACUAGAAUUCGGUAGGGGAGACUGGAAUUCCUGGUGUAAGCGGUGAAAUCGCAGAUAUCAGGAGGAACACCGGUGGCGAAGGCGGGUCUC
rnacentral:rRNA from 1 species